rnacentral:rRNA from 1 species
GAUGAACGCUAGCGGCAGGCCUAAUACAUGCAAGUCGAACGGUGUCUUCGGACAUAGUGGCGCACGGGUGCGUAACACGUAUGCAACCUACCUUACAUUGGGGGAUAGCCUUUCGAAAGGGAGAUUAAUACCGCAUAAGACAGUAGCUGGGCAUCCAGCAGCUGUUAAAGAUUUAUCGAUGUAAGCUGGGCAUGCGUCCAAUUAGCUAGUUGGUGAGGUAACGGCGCACCAAGGCAAUGAUGGGUAGGGGAACUGAGAGGUCAAUCCCCCACACUGGCACUGAGAUACGGGCCAGACUCCUACGGGAGGCAGCAGUAGGGAAUAUUGGGCAAUGGACGCAAGUCUGACCCAGCCAUGCCUCGUGCAGGAUGAAGGCGUUAUGCGUUGUAAACUGCUUUUAUACAGGAAGAAACGACUCUUGCGAGAGGCAUUGACGGUACUGUAUGAAUAAGCACCGGCUAACUCCGUGCCAGCAGCCGCAGUAACAC